rnacentral:lncRNA from 1 species
AGAGCGUCUCCAGCCCUUUGUCAUCUGUGGUGAAGAUGGAAUCUUAAAAUACAUUUGGAGUUUUAUCUGUUUUUACAAAUACAUUGAUGGCCUAAGUUCUCCCUUGUCUGCUGCCAUUUGAGUUGUAAGGGAUUCCUGUUGCUAAAUACGAAGAACGUGGAACACUCAUGGCCUCUGUGUCUGGGGGAAGGAAGGAAAACAUUUCUUUCUUAUGGGCUUUAUGCUCAGUUUUUGGAAACACCAGUGUCAUACUCAGCUUUCAAAGAAUCAGAAUGCAUUUUAAGACAACUAGGUUGAGGAGAAGGCAUUGAAGAAUACAUUAACUUGCU